rnacentral:rRNA from 1 species
UACGUAGGCAGCGAGCGUUGUUCGGAGUUACUGGGCGUAAAGAGUGUGUAGGCGGUUUGCCAAGUUCGGUGUGAAAUCUCCCGGCUUAACUGGGAGGGUGCGCCGAAUACUGGCAGGCUAGAGUGCGGGAGAGGAGAGCGGAAUUCCUGGUGUAGCGGUGAAAUGCGUAGAUAUCAGGAGGAACACCUGCGGUGUAGACGGCUCUCUGGACCGUUUCUGACGCUGAGACACGAAAGCGUGGGUAGCAAACAGG